rnacentral:rRNA from 1 species
UAGUCCACACCGUAAACGAUGAGUGCUCGCUGGUGGGUUCGUUUAGAAUUCGCUGGCCAAGCUAACGCAUUAAGCACUCCGCCUGGGGAGUACGGCCGCAAGGCUAUAACUCAAAGGAAUUGACGGGGGCCCGCACAAGCGGUGGAGCAUGUGGUUUAAUUCGAUGCAACGCGCAGAACCUUACCCAGGCUUGACAUCCUCAGAAGCCCAUCGAAAGUUGGGUGUACCGUCGUCAGACGGAACUGAGUGACAGGUGCUGCAUGGCUGUCGUCAGCUCGUGCCGUGAGGUGUUCGGUUAAGUCCGGCAACGAGCGCAACCCUUGUCUUUAGUUGCCAUCAUUUAGUUGGGCACUCUAGAGAAACUGCCGGUGACAAACCGGAGGAAGGUAAGGAUGACGUCAAGUCAGCAUGCCCCUUACGCUCUGGGCUACACACGUGCUACAAUGGUCGUGACAAAGAGUUGCUAGUCUGCGAAGGCAAGCCAAUCUCAUAAACGC